rnacentral:lncRNA from 1 species
GCAGCUCUCUUUUAUCAGCAGACAAAUCUGACAGGUUAAUAAGGAAAAGACUGAAUUUCCUCCUCCUACCCCAUUUGCCUCCCCCCUUUUCCCAUCUGCUGUCCCCCAAGCCCAGCCUGUCACCUCAGGUCACGAUGGGAUCUUUGGGGCUCGUACGUCAUCCGCAAGAAAGGUCUUGCCAUGAGAAAUGACUUCACAGAGCUUUGAUGUGCAAGGCAUCAGAGGCUGCUCCCCUCACCUUCUGAGAUCAAGAUACCUGUGCCUGUGUGUAUGAAGCUGAAGAAGAAAAGGAAGUGCUGGAAUAAAUUGCCUGGGGAGGUGGGAGAUUCUCUGUUUAAAAACAGGUCUAGACAAACAUCUGUCAGAAAAUACCGACGUCUAUUUGAUCUUGUCUCGGAGCUGGGGGAAAGACUGAAUGGUGCUGUCAAGUCCUUUUCAGCCCUGAGAGAACACAGUUGUACACAUAUAUUUAUAUCUGCUCAGGUGUGUGUAUAAAUGUAUGUAUUUCCCCACUUUCAGGGACAAGCUCUUGGCCCCUAUGAUAAUUUGUGUCUGUGAAUCUUGCAGGUUAAUUAACACCCAGCUUUGCUCUCUCUUGGCUUCACCAAAUUUGAGUUUCAGUUCUAUUUUAACGUCCUUUGUGCCUCGAGUGGAUCAGAUCACAGUGUCUAAUCUACUGAUGGUGUUUCUCUCGUGUUCAAGUGAAGUUCCUUCAGUUCUUGGAGAUUUUCAGCAAUUCCACUUAACUCCCAAAGCACAGCUGUGCACUUCUUGAGGGGAAAGUAGGACGGAGUGAAGCAUUGUUGACCUUGAAAAGUUUCUACAGUGAUGAGAGAAAAUCCAGAUACUUUUGGAUGGGUGAUACAGGCCGUUCAGCUGCCUCUACCUUCAACUUCAGGGAAGGAAGGAGAAGAUCCACAAAUCUUUUAUGGCAGGAAAAUCCCAUCCCGGUUCUGCUCGGGCAAAGGGAGCGCCGCGAACACGACCGAGCCAAGCGCCCGCUUCUGGGAAGGAAACAGGAAUUGGGCAACGAGGCAAUUAGCUCUGGCUUGGGGCUGCUCCAGGGUAACUGGAUUAUUUACUUGGGCAGCUGCAGAGUCGGAUCAGCCUCAAGAAAAGAGGGAGAUGCUCCCCGGGCUGAGAGGGGACUCCCUGUGCUUGGCCAGCAGAGCUGCGCGGCUGCGAUCCAUGGGAAAGGUGGAGGAAUGGUGAAAAACAAUUGGGCAACGAGGCAAUUAAAGGUAACGUCUUAAAACACCAAGGUAAUGUCUUAGCAAGUAACAAAAUCACGAAUUUCAUGUCUUAACUGUACCUAUUAAAAACAAACAAAAAAAUCUCC